rnacentral:lncRNA from 1 species
GAUUGUUCUUCAACGUUCAAAAAUCAAUUUAGGAUUCUGUGGGAACGGUCAAAAAAUACUCGAUUGUAUGAAAAUGACAAUCGAUUGUUUAUGAGUAUAAUCGAUUGUAUGAUAACAACAAUCAAUUGUUUUGAUGCUUAAAAACUUCGGUUGCACACUGUCUCAAAAAAAUCGAUUGUUAAAAGUAGACAAUCGAUUGUUUGCUAUUUUGAAAAACUUCAGAUCACACUGUCUUAAUACAAUCGAUUGU